rnacentral:sRNA from 1 species
CACACGCAGGCCAUGGGGUGUUCCGGGAGAAAUCCGGUGCGCUCCGCCGGUGCCGGACGGGUUUCCGUCCGUUCUCAGGUCUGCGGAGGUUCAACCGGAAAAGGAGACAA